rnacentral:rRNA from 1 species
CACGUAGGGGGCAAGCGUUGUCCGGAUUUAUUGGGCGUAAAGAGCUCGUAGGUGGCUUAGUAAGUCGGGUGUGAAACCUCCAGGCUCAACCUGGAGACGCCACCCGAUACUGCUAUAGCUUGAGUCCGGUAGGGGAGCGUGGAAUUCCUAGUGUAGCGGUGAAAUGCGCAGAUAUCAGGAGGAACACCAGCGGCGAAGGCGGCGCUCUGGGCCGGUACUGACACUGAGGAGCGAAAGCGUGGGGAGCAAACAGG